rnacentral:rRNA from 1 species
UAAAUUGAGAGUUUGAUCCUGGCUCAGGAUGAACGCUGGCGGCGUGCUUAACACAUGCAAGUCGAGCGAUGAAGUUUCCUUCGGGAAACGGAUUAGCGGCGGACGGGUGAGUAACACGUGGGUAACCUGCCUCAUAGAGUGGAAUAGCCUUCCGAAAGGAAGAUUAAUACCGCAUAAUGUUGAAAGAUGGCAUCAUCAUUCAACCAAAGGAGCAAUCCGCUAUGAGAUGGACCCGCGGCGCAUUAGCUAGUUGGUGGGGUAACGGCCUACCAAGGCGA